rnacentral:rRNA from 1 species
GACGAACGCUGGCGGCGUGCUUAACACAUGCAAGUCGAACGGUAAGGCCCUUCGGGGUACACGAGUGGCGAACGGGUGAGUAACACGUGGGUAAUCUGCCCUGCACAUCGGGAUAAGCCUGGGAAACUGGGUCUAAUACCGAAUAGGACCACAGAACACAUGUCCUGUGGUGGAAAGCUUUUGCGGUGUGGGAUGGGCCCGCGGCCUAUCAGCUUGUUGGUGGGGUGAUGGCCUACCAAGGCGACGACGGGUAGCCGGCCUGAGAGGGUGUCCGGCCACACUGGGACUGAGAUACGGCCCAGACUCCUACGGGAGGCAGCAGUGGGGAAUAUUGCACAAUGGGCGAAAGCCUGAUGCAGCGACGCCGCGUGGGGGAUGACGGCCUUCGGGUUGUAAACCUCUUUCACCAUCGACGAAGGUCCGGGUUUUCUCGGGCUGACGGUAGGUGGAGAAGAAGCACCGGCCAACUACGUGCCAGCAGCCGCGGUAAUACGUAGGGUGCGAGCGUUGUCCGGAAUUACUGGGCGUAAAGAGCUCGUAGGUGGUUUGUCGCGUUGUUCGUGAAAUCUCACGGCUUAACUGUGAGCGUGCGGGCGAUACGGGCAGACUUGAGUACUGCAGGGGAGACUGGAAUUCCUGGUGUAGCGGUGGAAUGCGCAGAUAUCAGGAGGAACACCGGUGGCGAAGGCGGGUCUCUGGGCAGUAACUGACGCUGAGGAGCGAAAGCGUGGGGAGCGAACAGGAUUAGAUACCCUGGUAGUCCACGCCGUAAACGGUGGGUACUAGGUGUGGGUUUCCUUCCUUGGGAUCCGUGCCGUAGCUAACGCAUUAAGUACCCCGCCUGGGGAGUACGGCCGCAAGGCUAAAACUCAAAGAAAUUGACGGGGGCCCGCACAAGCGGCGGAGCAUGUGGAUUAAUUCGAUGCAACGCGAAGAACCUUACCUGGGUUUGACAUGCACAGGACGCCGGCAGAGAUGUCGGUUCCCUUGUGGCCUGUGUGCAGGUGGUGCAUGGCUGUCGUCAGCUCGUGUCGUGAGAUGUUGGGUUAAGUCCCGCAACGAGCGCAACCCUUGUCUCAUGUUGCCAGCGGGUAAUGCCGGGGACUCGUGAGAGACUGCCGGGGUCAACUCGGAGGAAGGUGGGGAUGACGUCAAGUCAUCAUGCCCCUUAUGUCCAGGGCUUCACACAUGCUACAAUGGCCGGUACAAAGGGCUGCGAUGCCGCGAGGUUAAGCGAAUCCUUUUAAAGCCGGUCUCAGUUCGGAUCGGGGUCUGCAACUCGACCCCGUGAAGUCGGAGUCGCUAGUAAUCGCAGAUCAGCAACGCUGCGGUGAAUACGUUCCCGGGCCU